GAUGGGGACCUCCCUGACCCUGCAGGGGGAAGAAGUAAGGUAAAGGCAAUGCCCAGAGCCUGGCAUCCUGAAGUUUGUCCCCAGACAACUCACCCCACUCUUUGUGCAUUGGGGUCCCAACUUCAUCUGUCAGAGACCCCUGUCCCCACCUGCCAUCUUGCCCCACACCAAGACGGCUGCUUGUGCUUAGGAAGCUAACACUGGAUACCUACUGAGAGGUCUUGCCUUGGCCUUUCCUUCCUGGCUCAAAACCUGCGGAUUCACCUCACAGGUGAUAACUGCUGUGCCUGCCUCAUCACAAUGUUCUCAGGAUUUAGCAAGCUCUUAUGAUCAGCACCUUUCAAGCAUUUGUAUGCACGAGAAGCAGUGGGGGAUUUGUGAAAACCUAGGUUCCGACUCGUUUAUGUUGGUCUGGAGCCUGGGAUUCUGCAGUGCAAACAACACUCCAGGUGGAGUCUGUGCUGCUGGUCUGUGGACCAACUUUGAGCAGUGAGGAUACAGAUCAAAAGUCAGACGCUUUCCUCUCAGGGAACUUACCUGAUUCUCUGCAACAGGUUGAGAACGAGGCCAGGAGUGCCCCUUUACAGAGCAUGUUGUGUGUGCCAAACCUGGUGCUCAGCCCCACCACACUCCCCUCACUGAGCUGGGAGG